rnacentral:misc_RNA from 1 species
UAGGAAAAAUAACUUGAGAAUUUUCUCACCCCAAAGCUGUGUGUGGGUGUGUGGGGGGGGGUCCGAGUUUUUGGAGGGUUCCAUACUCUGCAACUCUUUUGGAAUCUCUCCCUGCUCUCUCUGACACAGCUUUCAACCAAACGAUCACAACUAUCAGAGAGACUUGACUUGGGAGGAUUUGCUUUUAUUAUUGCUUAUCAGAAAAACGCUUGCCUGAUAUUCUCAAUGCCAUUGAUUUGGUGGUUGGGUUGGAAUCAAAAUCAAAUA